rnacentral:rRNA from 1 species
GGGCGUAAGGGCUCGCAGGCGGUUUCUUAAGUCUGAUGUGAAAGCCCCCGGCUCAACCGGGGAGGGUCAUUGGAAACUGGGAAACUUGAGUGCAGAAGAGGAGAGUGGAAUUCCACGUGUAGCGGUGAAAUGCGUAGAGAUGUGGAGGAACACCAGUGGCGAAGGCGACUCUCUGGUCUGUAACUGACGCUGAGGAGCGAAAGCGUGGGGAGCGAACAGGAUUAGAUACCCUGGUAGUCCACGCCGUAAACGAUGAGUGCUAAGUGUUAGGGGGUUUCCGCCCCUUAGUGCUGCAGCUAACGCAUUACGCACUCCGCCUGGGGAGUACGGUCGCAAGACUGAAACUCAAAGGAAUUGACGGGGGCCCGCACAAGCGGUGGAGCAUGUGGUUUAAUUCGAAGCAACGCGAAGAACCUUACCAGGUCUUGACAUCCUCU